rnacentral:rRNA from 1 species
CACGGAUCCAGAGUUUGAUCAUGGCUCAGGAUGAACGCUGGCGGCGUGCCUAACACAUGCAAGUCGAGCGAAGCACUUUACUUUGAGAUCUUCGGAAGGAUAAGUUUUGUGACUGAGCGGCGGACGGGUGAGUAACGCGUGGGUAACCUGCCCCAUACAGGGGGAUAACAGUUAGAAAUGACUGCUAAUACCGCAUAAGACCACAGCACCGCAUGGUGCAGGGGUAAAAACUCCGGUGGUAUGGGAUGGACCCGCGUCUGAUUAGCUGGUUGGUGAGGUAACGGCCCACCAAGGCAACGAUCAGUAGCCGACCUGAGAGGGUGACCGGCCACAUUGGGACUGAGACACGGCCCAAACUCCUACGGGAGGCAGCAGUGGGGAAUAUUGCACAAUGGGGGAAACCCUGAUGCAGCGACGCCGCGUGAGCGAAGAAGUAUUUCGGUAUGUAAAGCUCUAUCAGCAGGGAAGAAAAUGACGGUACCUGACUAAGAAGCACCGGCUAAAUACGUGCCAGCAGCCGCGGUAAUACGUAUGGUGCAAGCGUUAUCCGGAUUUACUGGGUGUAAAGGGAGCGUAGACGGAUAGGCAAGUCUGAAGUGAAAGCCCGGGGCUCAACCCCGGGACUGCUUUGGAAACUGUUUAUCUAGAGUGCUGGAGAGGUAAGUGGAAUUCCUAGUGUAGCGGUGAAAUGCGUAGAUAUUAGGAGGAACACCAGUGGCGAAGGCGGCUUACUGGACAGUAACUGACGUUGAGGCUCGAAAGCGUGGGGAGCAAACAGGAUUAGAUACCCUGGUAGUCCACGCCGUAAACGAUGACUACUAGGUGUUGGCAGGCAAAGCCUGUCGGUGCCGCAGCAAACGCAAUAAGUAGUCCACCUGGGGAGUACGUUCGCAAGAAUGAAACUCAAAGGAAUUGACGGGGACCCGCACAAGCGGUGGAGCAUGUGGUUUAAAUCGAAGCAACGCGAAGAACCUUACCUGCCCUUGACAUCCGAAUGGCCGGUGAGUAAUGUCACCUUUCCUUCGGGACAUUCGAGACAGGUGGUGCAUGGUUGUCGUCAGCUCGUGUCGUGAGAUGUUGGGUUAAGUCCCGCAACGAGCGCAACCCUUAUCUUCAGUAGCCAGCGGCCAGGCCGGGCACUCUGGAGAGACUGCCAGGGAUAACCUGGAGGAAGGUGGGGAUGACGUCAAAUCAUCAUGCCCCUUAUGGGCAGGGCUACACACGUGCUACAAUGGCGUAAACAAAGGGAGGCAGAGCCGCGAGGCCGAGCAAAUCUCAAAAAUAACGUCUCAGUUCGGAUUGUAGUCUGCAACUCGACUACAUGAAGCUGGAAUCGCUAGUAAUCGCGAAUCAGAAUGUCGCGGUGAAUACGUUCCCGGGUCUUGUACACACCGCCCGUCACACCAUGGGAGUUGGUAACGCCCGAAGUCAGUGACCCAACCGAAAGGAGGGAGCUGCCGAAGGUGGGACCGAUAACUGGGGUGAAGUCGUAACAAGGUAGCCGUAAGCUUCAC